UUUAUUUAGUAUAUUAAUAAUUUAAUGACAUUGAAUUUUAUAUUUGAAAGAUAUUUUAUUGUAAACAUUUUUGGUGCAAUUAGUUAUAUAGAUUUUGAACUAACCUUAAUAUUUUAUUUUUUAUACGAGUCCACUGAUGUCAGUAAAUAAAUAAAAUUUGGUUGAGAGUUAUCUUCUCGGAUUCUUAGAUCCAAACUUAAAUGUUUUUGUAAUUAUUACUUUAAAAUAAUUUAAACAUUACUUUUAUGAAAUAUAUUACACUUAAAUAAUAACUGUAAUAUUAAAAAUAAUAUAAAACUUUUCUUCUAAAAAUGCAAAAGGUCAAAAGCAACAAUGCCCAGAAGAAAGAAAUAUAUUCGGCCAUACUAUUGAUCUCUUUGACAAUUUCAUCACUCAGAAGAAGAACCUGUCGGACCCUGGGAAGAAACAAUAGUUUUAAGUAGUCCAGUGCAUUUGCCAAGAAUUCGGCGUGUGAAUUAAUUUUGUAAAUUUUGUACCUCAUAGUCUGAUCUGUUUCAAGAAGCAUGUUUACAAACUCUCUCAUAUCUUAAUAGUUUCCGCGAUUCACAAAAGUCUAAAUGUAAAUAAUUUAAAAGUUUAUUUAGAAAUUUA